GAUGAACGCUGGCGGCGUGCCUAAUACAUGCAAGUCGAGCGAACAGACGAGGAGCUUGCUCCUCUGACGUUAGCGGCGGACGGGUGAGUAACACGUGGAUAACCUACCUAUAAGACUGGGAUAACUUCGGGAAACCGGAGCUAAUACCGGAUAAUAUAUUGAACCGCAUGGUUCAAUAGUGAAAGACGGCUUUGCUGUCACUUAUAGAUGGAUCCGCGCCGCAUUAGCUAGUUGGUAAGGUAACGGCUUACCAAGGCAACGAUGCGUAGCCGACCUGAGAGGGUGAUCGGCCACACUGGAACUGAGACGCGGUCCAGACUCCUACGGGAGGCAGCAGUAGGGAAUCUUCCGCAAUGGGCGAAAGCCUGACGGAGCAACGCCGCGUGAGUGAUGAAGGUCUUCGGAUCGUAAAACUCUGUUAUUAGGGAAGAACAAAUGUGUAAGUAACUAUGCACGUCUUGACGGUACCUAAUCAGAAAGCCACGGCUAACUACGUG
rnacentral:rRNA from 1 species